AACAAACGCUGGCGGCGUGCCUAACACAUGCAAGUCGUACGAGAAAGGGUCCUUCGGGGCCUGAGUAAAGUGGCGCACGGGUGAGUAACGCGUGGAUAAUCUGCCCUUCAGUUGGGAACAACCCAUCGAAAGGUGGGCUAAUACCGAAUAAUACUGCAAGACCUUGGUCGAACAGUCAAAGAGAGCCUCUGCUUGCAAGCCCUCGCUGAAGGAUGAGUCCGCGUACCAUUAGCUGGUUGGUAGGGUAAUGGCCUACCAAGGCGACGAUGGUUAGCUGGUCUGAGAGGAUGAUCAGCCACACUGGAAAUGAGACACGGUCCAGACUCCUACGGGAGGCAGCAGUGAGGAAUCUUGCGCAAUGGGGGAAACCCUGACGCAGCAACGCCGCGUGAGUGAGGAAGGCCUUCGGGUCGUAAAGCUCUGUCAGUUGGAAAGAAAUGCCUGAAAAUCAAUACCUUUCAGGCUUGACGGUACCAACAGAGGAAGCACCGGCUAACUCCGUGCCAGCAGCCGCUGUAACAC
rnacentral:rRNA from 1 species